ACUGGCAGGCUAGAGUCUUGUAGAGGGGGGUAGAAUUCCAGGUGUAGCGGUGAAAUGCGUAGAGAUCUGGAGGAAUACCGGUGGCGAAGGCGGCCCCCUGGACAAAGACUGACGCUCAGGUGCGAAAGCGUGGGGAGCAAACAGGAUUAGAUACCCUGGUAGUCCACGCCGUAAACGAUGUCGAUUUGGAGGUUGUGCCCUUGAGGCGUGGCUUCCGGAGCUAACGCGUUAAAUCGACCGCCUGGGGAGUACGGCCGCAAGGUUAAAACUCAAAUGAAUUGACGGGGGCCCGCACAAGCGGUGGAGCAUGUGGUUU
rnacentral:rRNA from 1 species